GAGAAGUGCAACCUUUUGAUGUUCGAGAACCGCAAGUUUGCUGACAUUGAAAACACAUUCAUUAUGCAAGACAAAUGAUCUGUGAAAGAAGAGAUGAAGAACAAUUUUAGCUGAAGAGUUGAAGAAGACCAAGGGUGCUUUGGAUGGUGGUCUUGAUAUUCCGCACGGUGACAAG